AGGAAAGGCGAGGCUCUGCAUCUAGAUUUACCUCGUUCUCUUUUGUCUCCGCUUUUUUUUCACAUUUCCUUGCGACCCUGGCCCUUGAGCGACAAAAAGGGGAAGCCAAGGCUGGCCCGAGGAACGGAGAGGGCACAUGGCCUAGCCACAAGUGGAGCUUCUGCUCCGCCCGAAGGGAUGCGCUGGAGCGGCCUCUUCCUUCUGCCACGGUCUUUCUUUGCCAACUAGUAGUAGAGAUGGGGUUUCACCAGGUUAGCCAGGCUGGUCUUGAACUCCAGACCUCAAGGGAUCCGCCUGCCUCAGCUUUCCAAAGUGCUGGGAUUACAGGUGGAGACUGGACCUCAGAAGAGGGAGUGGGUGCCCCGAGAACUCACAGCUAGCGGACAGUGGAAAGGGCAGGAGCCGGACCAAGGUGAGGACAGUGGAACUGAAGGCCGCUGGUUACCUCUCCUGCCCUCCGCUGGCCACAGUGGAGAAGACAGCCCCUCCCUCCUGCUCUGACCUGACAGUGUUCAUCCAUCGCCCUGU
rnacentral:lncRNA from 1 species